AUGGUAUCUCUGGGAAGCAGUUUAGCACUGGCUAUUUUUGCAGGCUAUAAGCGGGGUCUCCAGAGCCAAAGGGAGCACACAGCUCUUCUUAAAAUUGAAGGUGUUUAUGCCUGAGAUGAAACAGAAUUCUAUUUGGGCAAAAGAUGCACUUAUGUAUACAAAGCAAAAAAUAACACAGUGACUCCUGGCAGCAAACCAAGGCACCUCGGGCCCACAGAAACAGUGGCAUGGUUUGUGCCAAAUUCCAAAGCAAACUUCUUGCUAAGGCUAUUGUACACAGAAUCCGAGUGAUGCUGUACCCCUCAAGGAUUUAAACUAAUGAAAAGUCAAUAAAUAAACGUGGAUUUGUGCUCUUGUA